GCAAGCCGAAGAGCAGCUACCGGUUUCCCGUAAGGGUUAAACUGAGGAAACUCCAUCCAUCAUACAGAACCACGGUGCUGUAAGGCACAUGCUGCGAGGCAUAACUCUGGAGCAGAAACGAUACGUCUUCUAAUAAAUGAUAAUGACGCAAUCAGCUGAUUGAUAUUAGAAUGAAACGGUGAAACGGCCAUUUCGUGGGAUGCAAGGACAAAUACUGCCAAUGAAAAACUGUAUAAGGCAGAGGUAGUUCGCCUAGAUGAAUGCUGCUGAAACAGGAGGUGGGUUACUCUCGGCAUGC
rnacentral:RNase_P_RNA from 1 species